UCCCAUGCUGUGACCCUCUAGAGGGAAGCGCUUUCUGUUGUCUGAAAGAAAAGAACGUGCAUCCCUUUAGAGGGUUACUCUUUGAGA
rfam:Papio anubis isolate 1X1155 chromosome 19, whole genome shotgun sequence.